CCUACGGGAGGCAGCAGUGGGGAAUAUUGGACAAUGGGGGGAACCCUGAUCCAGCGACGCCGCGUGAGUGAAGACGUAUUUCGGUAUGUAAAGCUCUAUCAGCCGGGAAGAAAGAAGUGACGGUACCUGACUAAGAAGCCCUGGCUAACUACGUGCCAGCAGCUGGGGUAAUACGUAGGGGGCAGGCGUUAUGCGGAUUUACUGGGUGUAACGGGAGCAUAGGCGGGGAUGCAAGUUUGAAGUGAAAGGCGGGGGCCCAACCCCCGGACUGCUUUGGAAACUGUAGUGCUGGAGUGCAGGAGAAGUAUGUGGAAUUCCUAGUGUAGCGGUGAAAUGCAUAGAUAUUAGGAAGAACACCAGUGGCGAAGGCAGCUUACUGGACUGUAACUGACGUUGAGGCUCGAAAGCGUGGGGAGCAAACAGGAUUAGAUACCCGAGUAGUC
rnacentral:rRNA from 1 species